rnacentral:pre_miRNA from 1 species
AGUGUGAUUGCUGGAUCAUAUGGUGAGAGUAUGUUUAGUUUUGCAAGCAACAACCAGACUGUUUUAUAGAAUGGCUGUACCAUGUUGCAUUCCCACCAGCAAU